CCUUUGUCUUGGCUUGCAGGAGAUGCCAACAGACUGUUGAGAGGUAUCAAAGAAAGCUGGAAGACUGGGAGAACAGAAACCCUCAGCUAAAUUUGAAGAGCCCCACAAGGACGUAAGAAGGACAAGGUCCUGGUUGGUAGUGGUAUUUGAAUCACGUCAGACCUCCAGCUGUGGAACUUGCAGGUGAUUAUUGUAUAACUCUCUGCAGAUCUUCUCAGUGAUGGAAAUGUUCUCCAGAGCUUCAGGACAUAGUACUACUGGCAAAAGCAAAAGCUCUUCAGAGAGUGACCAUGAAAAUAUCGAGAAUAAGAGAAGAAAAAAAAAAAACAGAGGAAAAGGACAAAAAGAAGACAAACAAGUAAAAACUAAAAAAAAAAGCAAAAUCUUUGCAGGAGUUCUGACCACAUUCUAUGACCUUUGGAAUGUAAAUGACUUCAGUGGGCUCUGUGCCCUCUGAUUUUGACCCCCAGUAGAAGCAGGGCAUGGAGAACUACUACAUGAGCCAAUAUAUCCUGUUAGCAAGAUGGCCAAGGUCAACUGGAGUGGGGCUUACUCAGAAGCACGAUGGGCCUUGGUUAAAAAGUCCUGGAUGCAGUGUACAAGACCUGCAUAGCUUUUCUGAUCACAGUAUCACAGUGACUUUAUCACUGUCACCUCCUCAUUGUGAACCGGCCCAUCCCUUGGAGGCAGAGAGUCAUUGUGGAGGUGGCUAUGUACUCAUUUGAACUAAAAUUAUCCGGCUGCCAGCCUGCUUGAUAGCAAUUACAUCUAAAGAGAGAGAACCACUGAACUUCAUGUAUUGGAUGAGAUGGCUCCAGGAAACAACACCACAAAGUUAGCAGCGUGAAGUGGAUGAUGACGUGGUGUCAUUCCCAGAAAGUCUUCUGCUGUUGGUAUCUCGUGAUGCAUCUUGACAGUGUGAUGGCAUCCCACAGCUCUCUGUGCAUCUUCAGAAAGAGCUGUGUUGCUGUUUAUGAAUCACUGUUGGAUGAGACUCUAAGAACUGAAGAGGAGUAAUCAGUAAUAAACCUCAAACCUUUGGAGGCUAUUGGCUGCCCAUCAGCACUGCAAAUUUUGGGUACUCUACUUUGUGUACCCAAACAGAAAGAUAUUGGGAGUACCUCUGAGGAUGGGCAUUCCCAUUUACCAUGAGCUACCAUGGGAGCAUUCCCCCACUGAGGUGGGUCUCUAGGCUGGCAUAUGCCUAAAGAAACAAGUCACCAUGAAGCAACACAAGCAGAGGCAAUAUGUGGUUUUUUUACUCUGCAAACAAAAGCAUACCAUGCAGCCAGCAUCCUCAGGCACUGCUGUCCCCACAGAGCUCCUGGAUGGACAAGAGGAGGUAACAAGGACCAAGAGGGACAGAGUUGGGCACAGGUGGGGAUUGUUGGGACACAUGAGGAGGAGAAGAGUUCAUAGUACUGCAGAGAGAGCAGAAGGAUAUCGUUCCCUGGAGUGGAGGAAGGUAGGAAUGGAAAGUUUUCCUGAAUGUGUGUUCAUCCCUCUAUAACCAUCCAUACCUGGAGCCAGGGCACUGAAGGGAGCUGUGCUGAAUCACCCAGCUGGAACCUCCUUUUCUUUCGGCAUUUCAAAACCUAAGUGGACUUCCUAAAGGAGGCAUGUCUGGUCUCACACCGUGCUCCAGCAGCAGUGGCCAGAGAGCUCUGUUCUGCAAGGCAAAGCAUGUGUGCUCGCCACAUUGUCUUUCACGGUCUUCUUGUGGAAUCAGUGAGAAAUGUAUACUUUUGGUUCCAGAAGAGAACAUGAUCACAACAUUGGGAUUUCCCAUAGGACGGAAAUUCUGAUCCAUCCAUAUAAUCCCAUGAGGGACUCUUGUUCAUGACUAGGAAAUGUGGACUUGUUCCAAGUGCAGUACAGGCUCCAAAAGUCCCAAACCACCAGAAGCUCCCAGAGCCCCAAGAGCCCACAAUCAAAGUAAAAAGCAGAGGGCAACAGAUGGAUGGAGACAGAUGGAGAACCACAAAGAAACCAGGAGACACAACAGAGACAAAGGCCUGGAUAAAUGCCUACCAGAGCGUGGUUAAAUGUAAAAAUUGGUUUGUUUACAACUCAUACCUGUUGCAUUGAAGAUUUCUAGCUCAACCUACCUAAUAAGACUUCUUCCAGUUGGAUUUUCAGUGAGGAAUAAAUGUGACAGAAAUCAGCCAAUGUACCACACUCAGGAAUCAAGCCCAUUAACAGCGAUGAGUUAAGAUGUCCUGCAGCUGAAGGGGGUUCUCUUGCCCCUUAAAGAGAUGCAUGCUCAGUUCCAGAUUUACCACAUCUUUCCAAGCAAAAAUGAGAGCCUUGAAACUAAAUGGAACCCCCAUCUGUGGAGGAGAUAGCUAUUGCAUUUUGCCCCACCUUUCCACAGCUUAUAUGAUCACAGAGAAGAGUGGCUUGGAAAUGACAGCAUUGUCUUGCGAUUCAGGGGAGGUGAAACCAAAUCUUCUCCAUGCCAUAUAUUUCCUUGUCAAAUCACCUGUUUCUCAGAGAGGGAGAAAAAUUUGGGUCUUUUUCUAAGUUGCUAGGUGAACGAUCAAGUGUUUAAGACUCUGAAUAAAUGAUGUGUGCCAUAAAAUAACAAAGAUAGAAUAAAUAGAAUUUAUCUUGUCAUGUGGCUUCUGCAAUAGGAUUAACUGGAGCACUCACUGUAGUUAAUAUGUAAUUAAUGUGUGGAUGGACUGUUGUCAGCUGUGUACAUGUUUGAUGUCAGCAAUAUUUUAAAGUAUAAGAAAUUAAUAAUGAAGCCUUCUUGACAAAUUUGUAUCUUGAUAAUGCAGCGCUCCCCUCCUCAUUUAGCCUCCAGGUAUCCCUUGUUGGAAGAGUUAAGCUAGCUUGACUGGGUCAACUUCUUUUCUCUUGGUCCCUUCCCAUCUUCAGAGGACUUUACAUCUGGUUUCUCUGGUGGUUCCUGUUAUUAUUUUUUGAGUGCAUGCUUUAGUAUUUGUAAAGCUCACAAGGAGGACCCUCUUGUCACGAGCAACUACUUUGAAGCAUCCCCCUGCUUCUCAGCACUUUGCUUGACAUGUAGUUAAACAAAUUUACACUUGGUAACUGUUCCUUUCUUCUUCUUUUUUUUUUUCUACCUGGUCCUAUGAGUGAGCACUCAAGACAGAUUUCAUUUCCUUUAAUUGCUCCCAACCUGUUUCAUGCUCUGCAAGCAAGCCUGAGGAAAAGCAUUCAAGGCAGCAAUCUCCAGGCCUUCCAAAUUACCCAUUCUUAUUUUUGUAUUGACCCUUAAGUUCUAUGCACAGGGGUUGUGGCAUUUGGCAACCCAAGACCUGGUUUGAAUUUUGCUAUGGCAAGAUGAGUUUCCAAACCACCACCUGCACUUACAUUUUAACUGUUAAAAUGCCAAUACAGUAUUUU
ensembl:lncRNA